UAUGUAUAAAAGCGCUUAUAAGUUUUGCUUGAUAUUGCUGAAAUAUGUUUUUUUUUAAACUAGCCUGUUUCCACAGCUUUCUCAACUGCUGGUGAACACACAGUUGCAACCACAAGAACUGCAGCAAAAUCCGUGACGAAAGGUGGACGGAGACAACCUUCUCUACACCUUCACCAGAGAGCACUAAGAUCUAAGGACUUCCAGGAAGGCAUUACCAUGGGAUGGAUCUGCCACACCUGAUUCAUGCACCUCUUCUCCCUAAGUCGUAAAUCUUGGUGAGGAGUACACGUUUUGUCAUGUUCUGCGCGUGUUCCUGUUGUCUGGGUUUUGGUUGAAAAGGCCAAGUCAGUAACUUGCUCAGAGAGUGCGAGGAGGCGAAGCUUGUGAGGCCCCUUACUCUUGUGUGGGCUCAACGCUUUGGACGCUGCUCCAAGGAGCCUCCGUCUCUGUCAUUGAUGUGCUUCCCUGUUCCAACAGAAAGUGUCAUUGUUCCUGAAAGACAAAGAUAUCACCCAUUUUGGUCUCCUAGGUGAUAUCUUUGUGUACUUAUAUAUGGAUGUGUGUGUGUAUACAUAUGUUUGCUUGCGUGUGUGUAUUUGGUUGAGGUGCUGCCUUUUCUCUACAGUGCUGCCUGGCACCCUCUGUAGUACGAUCUCCAGCAACUUUAUCCCGUCUUGAUUUCUUUUGCUGUUGUCUUUCUGAAGGUCCAGUUUCACGAGACAUUUUGCUGUACAGAAAUCUGAUUUCACUGCUGUAUUUUUUCAAAGGUUCCCACUGUUUAUGAUGGUGGAAGAACUUGCAAAUGCAAGCCAUGCAGGCUCAAAAAAGCAGAAGUUUCAGAAAGUAUUAAUUCAUGAUCCUGAAGCCAAUCUCGCAGGUUUUUUUAUUUUUUUGGAGGCUUCUCUCAUGAAUGUGGAAUGCUUGGGGUUACAACACUGAGCACAGGCCCAAUCAUCAGGUAGUUAAAUUCCUGAAUGCUAUAAUUUGUGUGCCCACAGUCAGCUGUGGGUAUAAAAUUGUGCCCAAAAACUUGGAGGUCAGGGAAUACAAGGUCCAAACUAAGCAGAUUCUAAGCAACAUUUUUUUCCCUCUUUCCACCCCGAUGCUGUGGAGCGUUCCUCUUUGCUGACAAGCCAGCAUGCUCCAGCUUUCCCAGAGGUAUGUCUGUCUGCUUGGUACCUCGAGCAGCUUCCCACUUGCCAGCAAGGUGCCACUGGACCUGGCAAAGGGGGCAGGAUUUGACCCUGUUUGCUCAAUGCUGUGCAUGAAGAGCGACUUAACGUUUUUUUUCCUAAUUGUCCCUCCAGCUCAAUUUUCCUCAGCAAAAUUCCCAUCAAAGCUUUGACCCUGAGCCUUAAAGGUUGUGCCCAGCCCUGCGAAGACAAGACAUGGAGCCAGCAGGAGAGGAAUACAGAUGCUUCAGCUGCGUACUCUUCUUUCUGCUCCUCUGUGAGGCUGUUCCAUCGAGCCCCAAAACAGUAUUUACACUCAGUGGGAUGGGAGACGAGGAACUGAAUUACCGUGCUUACUCCUUCUCUUGUCACGUCCCUAUUUUUCUUAUGUUCAUUUCGAUGGGAGCAGGGAGCCUCUGCUUUGCAGCGGGUCAAUAUCCAGCCACAGCACGAGAUGGUUUUUCCCUGGCACUGGCCAGGGCUUAGCAGGGCUAGGGACCCUCCGAGGUGCCAAGAGGCAUCAGUUCACCUCCUCCUGCCCUUCACCUGCCUCCCUAGGUAAAGCACCCUCUCCCAUAGUAUCCCCACAGAAUGCAUUAAAAAAAACCUUAAGAAGGCCCACUGCUCUCUUCACCCUAGCUCUCCUCUUGGCUAGCAGGAAAAUAAGCCUGGGAUUUUGGGACCUGCUGCCCAUCAGAUGAAAGUCCCUACUAUUAUGAGGAUGAGCGAUAGAGCCUAACCCAUCCGUGCCUCUUCCCUACCUUCUAGAAGAGAAAAUAGCUGCUCCGUUUGAGCAAUAAACUGCUGCAAUUGGUUACAACUUUCUGAAUUUUAUUUUUACAGUGAAAUGUUGCAAAAAGCAAAAAUCUUGAGAAGCACACUUCAAAUCAUCCCCAAACCAAGUGUGAUUGCAGUAUUUCACUCUCUUGUCUAUGGAAUUUGCUGUUAAGCUUGAAGAUAGCUUCCUGAAAGGUUACACCACUGCCGGAUACGGGAAAGAUCCUACAAGAAACAAUCAUAAACUGGUUUUUGGCACCAUUUACUUGUUUCUCCAGAGCAAUAAAAAAGAAACUUAAGAUACUGACCACAUCAUCUCUGGGUGCUACUCUACUAAUAAAACAAAUAAAGACAUGUGGAUUAUGGGAUCCUUUAUAGACCUGCAUGGAACUCAUCUGGCUCAGCUGGCAGGGGUCAUGUAAACCUUCUCCAUCCGUUAGAGUUUGUGUGGUUUCACACCCAACAAAUGUCAAAGCAGAACUCAGCUGUAACUGCCAAGUUUUGUCUGUGUUUGGGUUAAGCCAUAAAAGAACCCACCAAAUUCCACAUCAGUCAUUUCAGAGUUGCAAGAAACCACCCAGGUUCGGUGAAGAGGUCAAGAAUCUGGUGAACAUUUUGGCAAAUAUGGCCCGAACAGUGGCUCAAGAAAACCCUGGUUUUUUCAAAUUUUGUUUAGUCUGACCAACCUGAUAGCUGGUCCAUCCUGAAGCCAAACAAUUUUUGUUCCCUGUAGCUCUUAUUUUGUAUAGAAAUGUUCAGAAUGAAAGCACAGGCACAACUUGUAGUCCUCUUUAGGUAUUUGGACUGUGCUCACUUGCAAGGUUUCUGAGGAUGAAAGGAGUCUCUCUGGUGAAGAGGGUCAUUACUCAUGAGUACAAGGAUAGAGCUGAUGAGGUGACACAAGGUGCUUAGCUCACAGAGGAGAGCAGAAGCGGUGAAAGCCUUUUCACCAGGAAGCUUAGUGAUGACACCGACUCUGGUACAACCCUCCGGAGUGUGCCUCUUCAAGGACAUAAGUGAUCUCACAGAAGUUAAGAGGACUUACUUGUCUAAGGGUCAGAGCCUGCCUGCAAGCUUUGGCGGAUCAAGGCAACAUAGCAUGAAGAAGUACAACAGUGGCAUACUUGGCAGCUCUGUAUUUUCUGACAGCAACAUCA